rnacentral:rRNA from 1 species
UAAGGGGGUUAUACUGCGGGUGAUCCACCUGAUCCCAUUCCGAACUCAGAAGUGAAAUCCCUUUAGGCCGAUGGUAGCAGAUUUUUCUGCAAGAGUAGGUGACUCCCUUAC